UCUUGUCUUACAGAUGAGGAAACUGAGGCACCGAGUGGCUGAGUCCUGUGCCCAAGGCUGCCCGCUAUUCAGCAGAAGAGCCAACGUCUGUGCUUUUGACCCCUCUGCUUCCCGCCUCCCUGUGACCACUUUCGUUCUGUCUUCCCUUCGCUCUGUUGAGGUCUCAAAUUCAGGAAUAUUCAAGGGAAAGGUCAGCUGCUGGCCUAUUUGGAAGAUUCAAGGUUGGGCCAAGAGCCUUCAGGACGAAGAGCAAAAGUUAUAGCUCCAAACUGUCUCUCCUGCCCAGAAAGUCAUAUGGAGAUGGAGAUGAAAUUGGUAGAAGGAACCCCAUGGAAGUUUUUGUUUCUUUAGGGCUUAGAAACGUUGUGUGAAAACCUUUAUCUGCUAAUCAGUCUGGAGCCAGGACUUUGCUGACCUCUAUCCUGUGGAAUACUUUACCUGCCUAUAAAUGCUCCAGAACACUCUCCAGCAGCCACGCAAUCUCAGCCUUCAUUUUUGUCAUGCCACACACAAUGCCAG
rnacentral:lncRNA from 1 species